rnacentral:lncRNA from 1 species
UAUCCCUCACAGAUGCCAUACCCACCCUACUACCCACCAUAUUCACAAUACCCAAUGUAUCCACCCCCACCUUACUAUCCAAACCCUACUUCAGAAAAUGUUGCACCACCUCCACGACCUACAGAACCAGCAGCCCCUGUUACCCAACCUUCUAGACCUAGCUCAGCCAGUGGGAGCAAGGUCAAGAUGACCGACUACAUGAAGUUGGGUGCUCCCCAGUAUGAAAAAGGGGAUGACCCGUUUGUGUAUCUUGAGAGGGUUAAGGUGAUCACGGAUGAGAUUGGGGCUGAUGACAGUAGAGCCAUUCAGAUGGCUGGGUUCACUCUUAAGUGCAAGAAGGCACGAGAAUGGUU